CCUUAAUGCAACACACACACACACACACACACAGAGUUUUUCUGUGAAGAAAUUGGAAGAAGACAACAAAAACAACAAGAGACUUCUGGAGCCAGGAUUCCAGAAGCAGCCAAGAGACACAUCCUGCUGAGCCAACACUCAAAAGGUGAAGAAACCAAGGCUUGGAGAGGCAAAGGGACUUGUCUAAGACCACAGAGUAAGAAGAGGAGCCAAGUUGCAAAUUCAGAUCGUUCAAAUCCUAAAAUCCACCUCCAUGCAUGACAGCGAUUUACCUAUG